GGGGGGGCAAGCGUUUGUUCGGAAUUACUGGGCGUAAAGGGCGUGUAGGCGGCCCUGCAAGUCUUUCGUGAAAUCCCACAGCUCAACUGUGGAACUGCGAGGGAAACUGCAGGACUUGAGUCCGGGAGAGGAGAGUGGAAUUCCCAGUGUAGCGGUGAAAUGCGUAGAUAUUGGGAGGAACACCGGUGGCGAAGGCGGCUCUCUGGACCGGCACUGACGCUGAGGCGCGAAAGCUAGGGGAGCAAACGGGAUUAGAUACCCCGGUAGUCCUAGCCUUAAACGAUGAGCACUUGGUGUGGCGGGUAUCGACCCCCUGCCGUGCCGAAGCUAACGCAUUAAGUGCUCCGCCGUGGGGGAGUACGGUCGCAAGGCUG
rnacentral:rRNA from 1 species